UGAGGAAUAUUGGUCAAUGGCCGAAAGGCUGAACCAGCCAAGUAGCGUGCAGGACGACGGCCCUCGUGGUUGUAAACUGCUUUUAGUCGGGAAUAAAAGGGGCGUCGUGAGCCCCGUCAUUGUAUGUACCGUCAGAAAAAGGACCGGCUAAUUCCGUGCCAGCAGCCGCGGUAAUACGGAAGGUCCGGGCGUUAUCCGGAUUUAUUGGGUUUAAAGGGAGCGUAGGCGGGUCGGUAAGUCAGUUGUGAAAGUUCGGGGCUCAACCCCGGCAAUUGCAGUUGAAAUCUGCCAGGUCGUUGAUGUACACGCAGGGAAGCCUGAAUUCAUGGUGUAGCGGUGAAAUGCUUAGAUAUCAUGAAGACGACCGAUCGCGAAGGCAGGUUUCCGGAGUGUGACUGACGCUGAGGCUCGAAAGUGCGGGUAUCAAACAGGAUUAGAUACC
rnacentral:rRNA from 1 species